rnacentral:tRNA from 1 species
GCCCCGAUAGCUCAAAUGGAUAGAGCAGCGGUUUCCUAAACCGUUGAUCCAGGUUCAAUUCCUGGUCGGGGUACCA